rnacentral:rRNA from 1 species
AACGAACGCUGGCGGCAUGCCUAACACAUGCAAGUCGAACGAGACCUUCGGGUCUAGUGGCGCCCGGGUUCGUCACGCGUGGGAACCUUCCCUUAGGUUCGGCCUAACUCUCCGAAAGGGGUGCUAUUACCGGAUCAUGUCUUCGGACCAAAGAUUUAUCGCCUUUGGAUGGGCACGCGUUGGAUUCGCUCGUUGGUAGGGUAAAAGCAUACCAAGGCGACGAUCCAUAGCUGGUCUGAGAGGAUGAUCAGCCACACUGGGACUGAGACACGGCCCAGACUCCUACGGGAUGCAGCAGUGGGGAAUAUUGGACAAUGGGCGAAAGCCUGAUCCAGCAAUGCCGCGUGAGUGAUGAAGGCCUUAGGGUUGUAAAGCGCUUUUACCCGGGAUGAUAAUGACAGUACCGGGAGAAUAAGCGCCGGCUAACUCCGUG